AUUAUAAUAUAAUUAUAUAAUAUAUUUUAUUGAAGUCAUGAAACUACAAGGAGUUCAUUUUAUUGAAUUUUUUUUUUAGAAAGUCAAUGCUAGCAUUUCUACAAAAAAACAGAUUUUUUUUUUCCCCUGACAAAAUAACUACAUUUUAAAUAUAGAAAUGAAAAAGAAAGGAGCUUUUCAUUGUUAGAUGCACAUCAACUUUUUAAACAUGUAAGGUUUUAAAAGUGUUACUAUACUAUGUUACUAUGCCCAUCCAAGUGUUACAUUCAAAAGUUUGAUUCAGGUGUUUGAGUCGGUGACAGAUCUCAGCAGCUGGAGGUUGAGUAAUGUGGAGGGCAGACAGACCUGGAGGUACAUUGAGGAGGCAGACCAUGUGAACAGACAGCAGAGCAUGCUGGAAUCUCACUCUCUGGGACUAGACAUGGUCAAAUGAACAUUACAGACUAGUGUACAGUGACAUACAUUAGAUUCUUAUAUUCAUGUUCAUAUCUAAUCUCUUUUUCUUUGACCUCAGGGUGAGUUCAUCUCAGUAUCCCCUGCCACACACACUGCAGUAGAAGCUGCACUGAAGGGAAUGGACUUCUACAGCCGUCUCCAGGCUGAAGAUGGACACUGGGCUGAGGAUUAUGGUGGACCACUUUUCUUACUUCCAGGCACAUUGAAGAUAAGGAUACUGUUUUUAGAACAGCUUUGAAUUACACAGCCUUGAGAAUUCUGGGACUUGGUCCUGAUGAUCCUGAUAUGGUUCAGGAAAGGAAUAAUUUACACAGCAAAGGUGGUGCUGUCGGGAUAUCCUCUUGGAUUUUUUUUCUUAAUCAGGCUGUUCCUUUCCUGGGUGCCAGCACAUCCUUCCACUUUAUGGUGCCACUGUCGUCAGAUCUACCUGCCCAUGAGUUACUGGGCAGACCCGCUGGUACUCAGUUUAAGACAGGUGAAGUUUGACCAUUUCACCACUAGAGGCCACUCUGACACCAUAUUAAAAGCAGGCUUGCUUUGACUGAACUAUCCAAAUAUCCAGUCACAGCUGUUGUUUUGUUUUUGGGUGUUAAACAGGAGCUCUAUGUCCAGGAAUACUCCUCUAUUGACUGGCAAGCUCAGAGGAACAACACUGCAGCCUGUGACUUGUACACACCACACAGCACCUUGCUUACUAUUGCUUACUGUGAGAGAAGUGCAACAUCUUUGUAAAUAACAAUCUUUUACCCUUUAGAUUUCAGUUAAGUCACAUAACACUAUCAAACUUGGUUUUACAGUGAUCCUGAAUGUGUAUGAAGCUCAUGCUGACAGAAAAAGCGGUGAAGGAGCUUUAUGACCAUAUUAAAGCAGACGAUCACUUCUCUAAUCAGCUUUUGCUCGAUUUUGAAAACGGUCAAUAUGUUGGUACUCUGUUACCACCUGCCUUUCAGGAGCAUGUGUCAAGAAUUCCCUAUUGUCUAUGGUUAGUGGCCUGAUUUUAAUAAUGUCCUGUUUAUUUUAUAUUAUUAUAAUAAUAAUUGGUUUCUGAUUUUUAU